rnacentral:misc_RNA from 1 species
CCGAGUUUCCAACUCCAAACCCGUGUGAACGUACCCGAACGUUGCUUCGGCGGAACGCCCCGGCGCCCUCUGCGGCCCGGGACCAGGCGCCCGCCGGGGGACCCAAACUCUUGUUUCAUCGCAGUGGCAUAUUCUGAGUCUCGGAAAAUGAAUCA